rnacentral:rRNA from 1 species
UACGGAGGGUGCGAGCGUUAAUCGGAAUUAUUGGGCGUAAAGGGUGCGUAGGUGGGUUAUUAAGUUAGAUGUGAAAUUCCUGGGCUUAACCUUGGAUUUAUAUCUGAUACUGAUAGUCUUGAGUACAUGAGAGGGUAGUGGAAUUUCCGGUGUAGCGGUGAAAUGCGCAGAUAUCAGGAAGAACACCCGUGGCUAAGGCGGCUCUCUAGUACGGUACUGACGCUGAGACGCGAAAGCGUGGGGAGCGAACAGG